rnacentral:rRNA from 1 species
UACGGGGGGGGUAAGCGUUGUUCGGAAUUACUGGGCGUAAAGGGCUCGUAGGCGGCCAACUAAGUCAGACGUGAAAUCCCUCAGCUUAACUGGGGAACUGCGUCUGAUACUGGAUGGCUUGGAUUCGGGAGAGGAAUGCGGAAUUCCAGGUGUAGCGGUGAAAUGCGUAGAUAUCGGGAGGAACACCUGAGGCGAAGGCGGGUUACUGGGCUGAUACUGACGCUGAUGCGCGAAAGCCAGGGGAGCAAACGGG